rnacentral:rRNA from 1 species
GCAACCCUGGUGGCGAGUGGCGAACGGGUGAGUAAUACAUCGGAACGUGUCCUGUAGUGGGGGAUAGCCCGGCGAAAGCCGGAUUAAUACCGCAUACGCUCUACGGAGGAAAGGGGGGGAUCUUAGGACCUCCCGCUACAGGGGCGGCCGAUGGCAGAUUAGCUAGUUGGUGGGGUAAAGGCCUACCAAGGCGACGAUCUGUAGCUGGUCUGAGAGGACGACCAGCCACACUGGGACUGAGACACGGCCCAGACUCCUACGGGAGGCAGCAGUGGGGAAUUUUGGACAAUGGGCGAAAGCCUGAUCCAGCAAUGCCGCGUGUGUGAAGAAGGCCUUCGGGUUGUAAAGCACUUUUGUCCGGAAAGAAAACCUCCGCCCUAAUAUGGUGGGGGGAUGACGGUACCGGAAGAAUAAGCACCGGCUAACUACGUGCCAGCAGCCGCGGUAAUACGUAGGGUGCAAGCGUUAAUCGGAAUUACUGGGCGUAAAGCGUGCGCAGGCGGUCCGCUAAGACAGAUGUGAAAUCCCCGGGCUUAACCUGGGAACUGCAUUUGUGACUGGCGGGCUAGAGUAUGGCAGAGGGGGGUAGAAUUCCACGUGUAGCAGUGAAAUGCGUAGAGAUGUGGAGGAAUACCGAUGGCGAAGGCAGCCCCCUGGGCCAAUACUGACGCUCAUGCACGAAAGCGUGGGGAGCAAACAGGAUUAGAUACCCUGGUAGUCCACGCCCUAAACGAUGUCAACUAGUUGUUGGGGAUUCAUUUCCUUAGUAACGUAGCUAACGCGUGAAGUUGACCGCCUGGGGGAGUACGGUCGCAAGAUUAAAACUCAAAGGAAUUGACGGGGGACCCGCACAAGCGGGUGGAUGAUGUGGAUUAAUUCGAUGCAACGCGAAAAACCUUACCUACCCUUUGACAUGUAUGGGAACCCUUGCUGAAGAGGUGGGGGGUGGCCC